rnacentral:rRNA from 1 species
GACAGAGGGUGCAAACGUUGUUCGGAAUUACUGGGCGUAAAGCGCGUGUAGGCGGCUAAGUAAGUCGGGCGUGAAAUCCCACGGCUCAACCGUGGAAGUGCACUCGAAACUGACAUAGCUAGAGUCCUGGAGAGGAAGGUGGAAUGCUUGGUGUAGAGGUGAAAUUCGUAGAUAUCAAGCGGAACACCGGAUGGCGAAGG